UACGUAGGGGGCAAGCGUUGUCCGGAAUCAUUGGGCGUAAAGCGCGUGUAGGCGGCUAGAUAAGUCUGCUCUGAAAGCCCGGGGCUCAACCCCGGGAGGCGGGUGGAUACUGUCUAGCUCGAGUCCGGAAGAGGAGUGUGGAAUUCCUGGUGUAGCGGUGAAAUGCGCAGAUAUCAGGAGGAACACCAAUGGCGAAGGCGGCUCUCUGGAACGCAACUGACGCUGAGACGCGAAAGCGUGGGUAGCAAGCAGG
rnacentral:rRNA from 1 species